UUCCAUACUCAUACAAUAUGUAUGGUAGUACCUGCUCUAUGUUGGAUGAUAAAUGGCCGCAGUAUCUUGACUGUGCGAAGGUAGCAUAAUUAAUUGCCUUAUAAUUGAAGGCUUGUUUGAAUGGUUUGACGCGGUAAAUACAAACAUUUGAAAAAUUUUUGAAAUUAAUAUGGAGGGCACAGAAUCCUCCUUUUUUAAUUAGACGGAAAGACCCCAGGAUCUUUCAGUUUUGUCUGGGGCAGAUACAAGUAUUUCACUUUUAUUGUGACCCGACUAGUUUGGUGAGUAAGUUACCCUGGGGAUAACAGUGUAAUAGUUUAUUAGAGGUCUUAUCGAAUAAACUGUUUGCUACCUCGAUGUUGACUUAGGUAAAUAAGCUAGGCGCAGUAGCUUAGCAUUAUGGUCUGUUCGACCAUUCAUACCUCC
rnacentral:rRNA from 1 species